rnacentral:snRNA from 1 species
ACAUCCUCUAUCCCAGGACAUUUUAGUAAAUGGAGUUUUGGAGUAGGGAAGCUGGAGUAGAACUUUACUCUGUCCACUCCACGCAUCAAUCUGGUAUUGUAGUACCUUCAGGAACAGUGCACC